GAGAGUAGCGAGUGACAGGUAAGGGCUCUGAACCUUCCUGCGUGCUACCCAAGGAGUGCCUAGGGCUACCAGGAGGCCCAGGGAGGAACCUUGAGACCUGAGAAAGGCUUUUCUUCCCCGAGAGGACCACUGCUCAGGCUCAGAGGCCAUGGGGUGAAGUGCACAAAAAAGUGGGCGUCCAGCCAUGCUCUAAGUCCCCCGAAGAUGAAGACCAGGGAGCAGCUUCCUCCAAUGAAGCAGCAGCAAUCAGAGGACCAGGAGGCUGAAGCCCUGAGCCCAGCCAGAGGCAGGAUCAGCCAAGUCUGGGACAGGCUUCAAUUAUUUUAGGGGACAUCCACCUUCUGUCUUCAAACAGCAGAGCUUCUGGUUCCUGGGCCUUCAGACUUGGACUAGAACUUCACUACCAGCUUUCCUGGGUCUCCAGCUUGCAGAGAGCAGAUCGCAGAACUUCUUAGCCUCCAUAAUCACAAGAACGUGUUUGCUUCCCCUUCCACCAUGAUUGUAAGUUUCCUGAGGCCUCCCCAGUCCUGCAGAACUGCUUUGAAGAAGACCACUGCGUCGGUAUUUGUGAAAUGUUUUGAGCCUCUGGAUUUAAAUAAGCUCCCGCCCCCACCCAGGCCUGCUCAGAAGAACCCAAGCCACUCAGAAGCAGGAGGCAGCCUUCACCCCAACCAGACCAAUAUCCGUUCCAGACUCAGGAUUACAACAAUCUGGGAGAGGGUCAACCAAGUCAGAGUCCCACAUGGCAGAAGAGCUGCUUUAGCUUAAGACUCUUAACUCUUUUUCUUCGGGGCAGGAAAGGUUUGAGCCAAUGAAGGAUGAGGCUUUCCAGGCCCAGGACACAACCUUGAUCCAAGGCCUAGUUGUGGCUUUAAUUUUUGUAAAUCAAGCCUCAAGUUUUUCUUCACUCUUUUAGCCAAAGAUAUGUUUCCCAGGAUGCAUGAAAUAAAUAAAUAAAAUGUACCAAA
ensembl:lncRNA novel transcript